rnacentral:rRNA from 1 species
CCUACGGGUGGCAGCAGUGAGGAAUAUUGGUCAAUGGACGCAAGUCUGAACCAGCCAUGCCGCGUGAAGGAAGACGGCCCUAUGGGUUGUAAACUUCUUUUAUAAGGGAAUAAACCGAGAUACGCGUGUCUUUUUGCAAGUAUUGUAUGAAUAAGGAUCGGCUAACUCCGUGCCAGCAGCCGCGGUAAUACGGAGGAUCCGAGCGUUAUCCGGAUUUAUUGGGUUUAAAGGGUGCGUAGAGGGGUGGUUAAGUCAGUGGUGAAAGCUUGAGGCUCAACUGGAGAAUUGCAUUUGAUACUGGCAGUCUAGAGUACAGUUGAGGUAGGCGGAAUGCGUGGUGUAGCGGUGAAAUGCUUAGAGAUCACGAAGAACACCGAUUGCGAAGGCAGCUUACUAAACUGUGACUGACAUUGAGGCUCGAAAGUGUGGGUAGCAAACAGGAUUAGAUACCCCAGUAGUC